UAACUUUUAGUGUAAAAGCACAAAAAAUUUUGAAUUUUUUAGAAAUAUUUUAUAUUAUUAAAGUUAU
rnacentral:tRNA from 1 species